rnacentral:rRNA from 1 species
AGUGAACGCUGGCGGUAGGCCUAACACAUGCAAGUCGAACGGCAGCACAGGAGAGCUUGCUCUCUGGGUGGCGAGUGGCGGACGGGUGAGGAAUACAUCGGAAUCUACUUUUUCGUGGGGGAUAACGUAGGGAAACUUACGCUAAUACCGCAUACGACCUACGGGUGAAAGCAGGGGACCUUCGGGCCUUGCGCGAUUGAAUGAGCCGAUGUCGGAUUAGCUAGUUGGCGGGUAAAGGCCCACCAAGGCGACGAUCCGUAGCUGGUCUGAGAGGAUGAUCAACCACACUGGAACUGAGACACGGUCCAGACUCCUACGGGAAGCAGCAAUGGGGAAUAUUGGACAAUGGGCGCAAGCCUGAUCCAGCCAUACCGCGUGGGUGAAGAAGGCCUUCGGGUUGUAAAGCCCUUUUGUUGGGAAAGAAAUCCAGCUGGCUAAUACCCGGUUGGGAUGACGGUACCCAAAGAAUAAGCACCGGCUAACUUCGUGCCAGCCGCCGCGGUAA